GGAGGAAAGUAGGGGAUCGCAAGACCUUGCGCUUUUGGAGCGGCCGAUGUCUGAUUAGCUAGUUGGUGAGGUAAAGGCUUACCAAGGCGUCGAUCAGUAGCUGGUCUGAGAGGACGACCAGCCACACUGGGACUGAGACACGGCCCAGACUCCUACGGGAGGCAGCAGUGGGGAAUUUUGGACAAUGGGGGAAACCCUGAUCCAGCCAUGCCGCGUGAGUGAAGAAGGCCUUCGGGUUGUAAAGCUCUUUCAGCCGGAACGAAACGGUCACGGUUAAUACCUGUGACUACUGACGGUACCGGAAGAAGAAGCACCGGCUAACUACGUGCCAGCAGCCGCGGUAAUACGUAGGGUGCGAGCGUUAAUCGGAAUUACUGGGCGUAAAGCGUGCGCAGGCGGUUUUGUAAGUCAGAUGUGAAAUCCCCGGGCUUAACCUGGGAACUGCGUUUGAAACUACAAGGCUAG
rnacentral:rRNA from 1 species